rnacentral:rRNA from 1 species
CUCAGUUCGGAUCGGAGUCUGCAACCCGACUCCGUGAAGCUGGAUUCGCUAGUAAUCGCGCAUCAGCCAUGGCGCGGUGAAUACGUUCCCGGGCCUUGUACACACCGCCCGUCAAGCCAUGGAAGGCCGGGGGUGCCUGAAGUGUGCAGCCGCAAGGAGCGCCCUAAAGGUAAAACCGGUGACGUGGGGCUAAGUCGUAACAAGGUACC